UGGGGAAUAUUGGACAAUGGGCGAAAGCCUGAUCCAGCCAUGCCGCGUGUGUGAAGAAGGUCUUCGGAUUGUAAAGCACUUUAAGUUGGGAGGAAGGGCAGUAAGCGAAUACCUUGCUGUUUUGACGUUACCGACAGAAUAAGCACCGGCUAACUCUGUGCCAGCAGCCGCGGUAAUACAGAGGGUGCAAGCGUUAAUCUGAAUUACUGGGCGUAAAGCGCGCGUAGGUGGUUCGUUAAGUUGAAUGUGAAAGCCCCGGGCUCAACCUGGGAACUGCAUCGAAAACUGGCGAGCUAGAGUAGGGCAGAGGGUGGUGGAAUUUCCUGUGUAGCGGUGAAAUGCGUAGAUAUAGGAAGGAACACCAGUGGCGAAGGCGACCACCUGGGCUCAUACUGACACUGAGGUGCGAAAGCGUGGUGAGCAAACAGG
rnacentral:rRNA from 1 species